GUUGGUGCCAGCAGCCGCGGUAAUUCCAGCUCCAAUAGCGUAUAUUAAAGUUGUUGCAGUUAAAAAGCUCGUAGUUGAAUUUCGGAAUCUGUCCGUCGGUCGGGCUUCACUGUCCGUACUGGUGUGAUGGAUUUCUACCUUCUGAAUAACCGGCAUGUCAUUAAUUUGGUGCGCCGGGGAAGCAGAACUAUUACCUUGAAAAAAUUAGAGGU
rnacentral:rRNA from 1 species